GCCAGUGUGGCGCAGUGGUUUGGGUGUUGGACUACAACUCUGAAGAUCAGGAUUUGAAUCCCCACUCAGCCG